UACAGAGGGUGCGAGCGUUAAUCGGAAUUAUUGGGCGUAAAGCGCAUGUAGGUGGAUUAAUAAGUUUGAUGUGAAAGCCCUAGGCUUAACCUGGGAAUGGCGUUGAAGACUGUUAGUCUAGAGUCGGCGAGAGGGCCGUGGAAUUUCCGGUGUAGCGGUGAAAUGCGUAGAGAUCGGAAAGAACACCAGUGGCGAAGGCGGCGGCCUGGAACCAGACUGACACUGAGGUGCGAAAGCGUGGGGAGCAAACAGG
rnacentral:rRNA from 1 species